GAGAGAGGGCCGCUCAAAACCAUAGGCCUAAUUUUCCCACUUGCGCCCUUUCUUUUUCUUUUUCUUGUUCUUGUUCUUGUUCUUGUUCUUCUCUGAAACCGUUUAUUUUCUGCCAUUUCUAUUUUCCUUGGGACGAUCUCGGGUUGAAGGCAAGAAUCAAGACAGCAGCUUCUAAGUGGUUCUCUUUUGUAAGUCUUUCUCUCCUAUGGGAGGAGAGAGGGCCGCUCAAAACCAUAGAACUAAUUUUCCUUUUCAUUUCUACACUUGCGCCCUUUCUUUUUCUUGUUCUGCUUGUUCUUCUUCUUCUCUGAAACCGUUUAUAUUCUGCCAUUUCUAUUUUCCUUGGGAUAUCUCGGGUUGAAGGCAAGAAUCAAGGCAGCAGCUUCUAAGUGGUUCUUUUUGAGAUGAGGCGGAUAGUUUCAAUGGGUAUCUUCAACUAAUUGAAGUAAUGAGGCAUGAAAUUCCAUAUUUGAGACAGUUGGACAAUUUCCGAUCUCUACUGCGGACGACGUAAGAUUUUAUUGUAAAGAUUCUUAGGAUUCCUAGUGUAAUGCAUAAUGUAAUACUCAUGAACGUUCAAAUUAGGGGGUUUCAGCUAAAAUCAGAUAGUUAAAACAAGAGAUAUGGGCAGUUCCUAGUGACAAAUUGAGUUGAGUUUUUUAAGUUGUUUACUCUUUACCCGAUUGAAAUUUUACAAUAUUUUAUCCACUGGAUUAAUAUACUUUGGUGUCUAUUCUACUUAUCAAUUAGCUUAUUUAUUUGUAAUGUUUAUUUAUUUAAUUUUUAAUUUAUUACUAUUUAAUCUUACUUGCUAAUUAUUUUGCGGUUCUUUUGAAAGAUUCUAUGGACAAAUCCAUUUUUCUGGAAGAAGGAUGAUAGAUUUAAAUACAUCCUGACGUUACAUGCGAUACUAAUUGGUGAAGAUUAUAGAUUUGGUCAACAAACGAUUAAUAGGAUUGGUGAUUUAGUACGAGAUGUGGUACUUGAUAUAGAAUAUCAAAGUGGAUUGCAAUGGACGGAUAUGGUUCCAACGUGGCGGCCAUAACGUGAUGUUAUUCUCUGUAAUAGAACUCUCUCUCUCUCUCUCCCCUCUUUCCCCUUUUAUUCCUUGACUUGUUUAUAGUUAUUCUUUUUGUAAUUUUUAACUGUUUUUGAAUCCUUGGUAAUGCAGGAACACCUUUUCAUGACUGGAAGCCCCCCCCCCCCCUUCUUCUUUCUAAAUGAAAUCUAUUUUGCUGAUAUUUCUAUGUAAUUAUUUCUUCUGUCUUGGGGUGUCAUGUUUCUUAUAUUACUUGGUUAGUACUAUUAUAUGGGCCUAGAAGUUUGCUUUUAUAUGUGUUUGUGUGCUUCUAUCUUAUGUACAUGUUAAGACUGAGAAGUUCUUCAUUUGAAGGUCUCUUAUUUUUUUGCUA